rnacentral:rRNA from 1 species
CCUACGGGAGGCAGCAGUGAGGAAUAUUGGUCAAUGGACGAGAGUCUGAACCAGCCAAGUAGCGUGAAGGAUGACUGCCCUAUGGGUUGUAAACUUCUUUUAUAUGGGAAUAAAACGUUCCACGUGUGGGAUUUUGUAUGUACCAUAUGAAUAAGGAUCGGCUAACUCCGUGCCAGCAGCCGCGGUAAUACGGAGGAUCCGAGCUUUAUCCGGAUUUAUUGGGUUUAAAGGGAGCGUAGGUGGAUUGUUAAGUCAGUUGUGAAAGUUUGCGGUUCAACCGUAAAAUUGCCGUUGAAACUGGCAGUCUUGAGUACAGUAGAGGUGUGCGGAAUUCGUGGUGUAGCGGUGAAAUGCUUAGAUAUCACGAAGAACUCCGAUUGCGAAGGCAGUUCACUGGACUGCAACUGACACUGAGGCUCGAAAGUGUGGGUAUCAAACAGGAUUAGAUACCCUUGUAGUC